AAUUACCAAAAUUAAUGGCAUUGGCCUGUAAUAUGUGGCAUGUACCGGGGAUGCUGUGGUUUAAAUCGUUGUCCAUGUCCGGUCACGAUCGAGGAAGAACAUCUGCCCGUACGUAACCGGAAGUUGUUGGCACAACUUGAAAACUGACCUAAAACAGCUUGCAUAGUAUUUCGCCCAAGGAGAAAGUCCACGCCCUGGUUGUCAUACCGAUUUUCGUAACACGCGAUGAUGCCCUCAUCACCACCCAUGAGAUGCUGAACUAUUUCCCACGCAUGGGCAGUCUGCACGGUUCCCUCAGCUUUUGCCUGCCAAUACCAGAUGAACUUCUUGUAACCUCCUUGAUGCCUGAUUAUGCGUGGAUUUUCUUCACGGAUCACAAGAGGCGGUGCAUCACUGUGGAUAUCCAUCCCAUAUCGAUUCUUGGCCACAACGUCUCGCACGCCAGAUACAGACGUAAUUGCUCGCAGAUGAUUGAUGCGACCUGGCGCAAAUGCCGAUGAUGAAGCACCAGUCGCAACUUCCGGUGGUACACUGUAAGGGAUAUCCCUGCCCGAAUUUUGAACUACCGCAAAAAAUUAAAUUGUUUACUUGCGGGCAAAGCAGCACCGGAGCUGUUUUCCGAAGCAACAACUUGGAUAUCCAUUGAUUUGGACAUUUCGCCUGCAAAGUUAUUGAGAAACAUUAAAGCUUUGACGGUUAUACAAUUUAUUGAGCUCAACCCCACAGGCGAUUCCGCCAGGAAAACGUUGGAUAUCCAAAGCAGCGACUGGAAAGCAAAAGGAACAUUACUCUUACUUCAUAGAAGUACUAUGUAUAUUGCUGUUUAUGGCAAAAAUUAAAUUAAUCACCGUUUUUUGUGGCAAGCACAGAUUUACUUGGACCAGAAGCAUUUACGCUAGAUGAUGGUUGGCUGUCCAUGGAAGGUGAACGAUGGAUAUCCACAGCAGCGACUGGAAGACCAAACAAAUUCUGGAUAUUUUAAAAGUUUUAAAAAAAUGAACACACCUUCAGCAAAACGCGCAUAAUCGGCCAUACUCGGUUGUGGUGCAGAUAGGGUUGUGUACGACAUGUCUUUGUCGUUAAGAAAAGGAUAAUGAAAACCUAAUAAUUUCAUUUUUAUAAUGCAAAAAUGAAAGCAAAAACCGGGAAAUUUACCGUCUGAAACUGGUAACAUGGGUCGCAAAUUCGCCAAAUAUCCCGUAUCUGCAAAACAUUUCAAAACCUUUUGCUUGACACCAAAAUAAAAAUAACAGGUUGCUACCAAGGCUAUCCUGCGUCGAGCGAUUUACUCCGGCAUCUGCAACAGGCUUCGGUGGCAUGCUGUUCACAUAA